rnacentral:rRNA from 1 species
CCUACGGGUGACAGCAGUAGGGAAUCUUGGGCAAUGGGGGAAACCCUGAUGCAGCGACGCCGCGUGAGUGAAGAAGUAUUUCGGUACGUAAAGCUCUGUCAGCAGGGAAGAAAAUGACGGUACCUGACUAAGAACGUCCGGCUAACUACGUGCCAGCAGCCGCGGUAAUACGUAGGGGGCAAGCGUUAGCCGGAUUUACUGGGUGUAAAGGGAGCGUAGACGGUAGCGCAAGUCUGGAGUGAAAUGCCGGGGCCCAACCGCGGAACGGCACUGGAAACUGGGAAGCUUGAGUGCAGGGGAGGAAAGUGGAAUUCCUGGUGUAGCGGUGAAAUGCGCAGAUAUAAGGAGGAACACCAGUGGCGAAGGCGACUUACUGGACUGUAACUGACGUUGAGGUGCGAAGGCGUGGGGAGCAAACAGGAUUAGAUACCCGGGUAGUC